CUCCUUUAGAGUUUGGAUCCUGGCUCAGGACGAACGCUGGCGGCGUGCUUAACACAUGCAAGUCGAACGAUGAAGCCCUUCGGGGUGGAUUAGUGGCGAACGGGUGAGUAACACGUGGGCAAUCUGCCCUUCACUCUGGGACAAGCCCUGGAAACGGGGUCUAAUACCGGAUACGACCCGCCGAGGCAUCUUGCCGGGUGGAAAGCUCCGGCGGUGAAGGAUGAGCCCGCGGCCUAUCAGCUUGUUGGUGGGGUAACGGCCCACCAAGGCGACGACGGGUAGCCGGCCUGAGAGGGCGACCGGCCACACUGGGACUGAGACACGGCCCAGACUCCUACGGGAGGCAGCAGUGGGGAAUAUUGCACAAUGGGCGCAAGCCUGAUGCAGCGACGCCGCGUGAGGGAUGACGGCCUUCGGGUUGUAAACCUCUUUCAGCAGGGAAGAAGCGCAAGGACG
rnacentral:rRNA from 1 species